GGGGUUGUGGCGGAACGGCAUACGCAGGUGACUUAAAAUCUCCCGUCUUCGGACUUGUGGGUUCGAAUCCCACCAACCCCA
rnacentral:tRNA from 1 species